UGAAGCUCCUGAGCUCCAGGAGGCCUGAAGACCUAGACCUGCAUUGCAAGCUUUCAGCCUGGCUUCGGUCUACAAUGCCUGCAUACAUAACAGGGUCUACUCUGAGGAUGAUCAGUUUUGCACACAUGUCUAGAGAGCCCGUUUGAAGUAGUGGUUACAUUGUUAGGCUAGACCCUGGGAGACCAGAGUUAAAUAAUAUUUUUUUUCUUGAUUUCCCCCUCUAAAAACUAGGUGCACUUUAUGGUCAGGUGCGCCUUAUGGGGCGAAAAAUACAGUAAGUCUUGAUUUUUUAAUAAAAAGUACCAGACCUCCUUCAAUGUCCUUUUAGAGAAGAAACCAUAAAUAUGGAUGAAGUCUCAUUUAUAUGGUUUUUAACAUCUUUCAGCCUACUGGCUUCCUGUGUCUUGACCACGUCAGCCACCGUUUCCACAUGAAUUUGUUUGCAAUCUGGUGGCAUUCCUUGUUUUCUUCGCAGGCUUAUGUGUGCUUUGCUAUUUUUCACGCUCUAUUGCUGGUUAAUACCCCCGAUACUGGGGGGGUUAUUAAUGGGAAGCCAGUUUAUAGCAAGCUGUUGUCUCAUUUCUGAUGAAUCACACUGGAUCUCUCCCAGCAGAACAUUUCAACAAGCUUUCUUUUAGCUUCCCGUGUCUAACUGCCAGGGAAUAAAGCAGCAAAAGGAUAAUGCUAAACUACAAGUAGCAAGACUUUUAAACUACUGUAUUUUCAUUGGGAGGUGGGGAGGAAGGACAGUGGAACAUUAAUUAACUUUGCAACCCAAAUUCUUAAAAUAGAAGCUUACGCAGUAUUGUAAUACACCCAAGAAUGAUUGAGAAUGAGCGACAUUUUCUCUCUUUUCUUUUUAAGUUAAAAGGUUCUCUGGGUGUGUGUGUGGGGGGAAAUCCCUGGUUUUAGAUCUUCCUCAAAUAUGGUAGGCCUAAUCCCUUUUGGAGGAGCUCCUUUGACUGCAACUUUCGUAAAGUGAAAGCGAGGGAAGUUAUAGCCAUUUAUAGAUUCCCCAUUAUAGUCAACGGGGGCUAAGAAGAAUCUUAGUACAACUCCAUCCCAAUAGGCUUUAAUCUGAAGAAAUAAUGGUUCAAGUGCUUGGGGAAUUAUCUUCAGUUAGUGCUGUGUUGGUUGGUUACCAUUAGGACUGAUAGGACGGUAGUGUAGGAGUUCAACAGCAGGUGGUGCCAGAGUCACUGAGAGGCAGAAGCAAUGAAUUCUACUUUUGUUUCCAUGAGUUCUACAAAGGCAGCACUGAGACUGAAGAGGAGGAACCUUGCAAGCAGUGCCACCCCUUGGAUUGGAUGUAAGAAAGCAGUCAGAUGGGGGCUGGCUGAGGGCAGAAUGAGAUCAGUGGGGCAGUGCCCCUUUUGCCCCAAUGCAGUGGACACUCGGGUUUCAAAUGUGAUCUGUGCGGGAUGCACAUUUGCAAUCCGCAGCAUCUGCAACCUGCAGCAGUGCAUCUGCGUAUGCGCGGGUUGCGAUUCGGCGCUUCUGUGCAUGCGCAAAGCACGAUUUAGCGCUUCUGCACAUGCGCAACCGCCAAAACCCGGAAGUAACCCAUUCUGGUACUUCCGGGUUUUGGCGGUCCGCAACCCAAAAAAAUGCAACCUGAAACGUCUGUAACCCAAGGUAUGACUGUAUACAUCAAGUUCUACUGAGUUCAUGUUGUUUAUGAGACCUUAAAUAUCUUUGUCUGGUGAAUAUGAUAAUUGUGAUUGUCUCCUUCUGUUAUUAUUCCUAUGUCAGCAUUGAUAAUUCAUUUUUAUUUUUCAUUUCUCUAAAUAAAUUUAUUUAUUUGGUUUUUCAAAUUAAAAUUUUGCAGAGAUAUAUCAAACAUAAAUCAUAAAAACAAGAUUCCAAGGAAUCUCCUGGACUUCCAUUCUCCCCUUUGUGGGGCCUAUUAUUAAUCAUUUCCUCCCACAUCUUUUAUGAUAGUCCAAAUUAUUUACCUCUUCCAUUAUGUCCAGAAUUCACCUUAAACUACAAGUGAUAUUCCAAUCCUACUAACAAUUUUAACUGUUUACAAUGGUCUUUAAGAUAAGUCAUAAAUCUCCCCCUUUCCUUCUUAAAAUUUUGGUCUUCUUGAUUUCUAACUUCCAGUCAUUUGAGUCAUUUUGGCAUAGUCCAUCAACUGCAACUGCCAUUCUUCUCUGGUAGGGACUUUAUCUUCUUUCCAUCUGUGGGCCAAUAACAUCCAGGCAGCCGUGGUCACAUGCAUAAAUAGUCUUUUCUGCUCCCUUUGGAUUUUGGUUCCUAGAAUUCCUAAAAGGAAGGCUUCAGGCUUUUUUUAAACAAAGCUUAUUUUAAACAUAUUUUUUUCAACUCAUUAUAUAUCAUUUCCCCAAAUCCUUUUACUAUCUUACAAUCCCACCACAUAUGAUAAAAGGUUCCUUCUUUUUCCUUAUAUUUCCCAGCAUUGGAAAUUCCUGCUGAGGUUUAAGGAGUGAAGACUCAGCUCAUGCUUGAGGAUCUUUCCAUGAAAAUCCACAUGGGUUUUCAAUUCCAAUUGACGUUGCACUUAGAGAAAAACAGAUGAUGGACCUUGUAAUCUAACAUGACAUUUCCUACGUGUGAUUCUCCAGAGAGAGCAUUCCAGAAGUACAGUGGUACCUUGGGUUACAUACGCUUCAGGUUACAUACGCUUCAGGUUACAGACUCCGCUAACCCAGAAAUAUUACCUCAGGUUAAGAACUUUGCUUCAGGAUGAGAACAGAAAUCGUGCUCCGGCGGCGCGGCGGCAGCAGGAGGCCCCAUUAGCUAAAGUGGUGCUUCAGGUUAAGAACAGUUUCAGGUUAACAAUGGACCUCUGGAACGAAUUAAGUACUUAACCUGAGGUACCACUGUAUUCCCAUACUGGAGAAUUUUGCUUAGGGAAAGAACCUUAGUUAUUCAUCUCUGUUCAUUACCAGAAUUCAUUCGGUGUCUUCCCUUUAGUUUGAAGUCAGCAUAAUCCCACUGAAUAAGAAUUGUGUGUAUAUAGCAAGUGUGUAUAGACUUUGGAUGGUUGGUGUUCCCUGCAGGCCAUCCAGGUAAAUAAUGCUGGAAAAAUUGUGAUGGUUUUCUUACCCGCUGCUUUUCUCAUUUUAGAGGUGCAACUUUCUCUCUCUAGUGGCUGAAUCCUAAUUAUUUCUUUCUAGGGUUUUGACUUUAGAAAUAGAGGAAGUUGCUUUAUGAUGAGUCAAACCAUCGAUCCAUCUAGCUCAGUAUUGUGUGCACUGACUGGCAGCGAUUCUCCUGGAUUUCAGACAUGGAGGCUCUCCCAGGCCUACCUAGAGAUGCUGGAGAUUCAACUCAGGACCUUCUGCACAUGAAGCAGGUGUCAUACCCUUCAACUGCCCUGGAAAAAAAUGGAACAUUGCCUUUUUUCUCGUGAGAGGACAGUGACCAAAAUGGCCGCCAGGAUCUCGUACAAUUUUGGGACUCGCUCUAACCUCGAAAAAGUGCUUCUUCAGGGGCAGCAAUUUCACCCCCCCCAAACAAGACUCAUGCGGGAAUGCGGCUCCAAAAGAUGUCCUAUUUUGGGGUCGCUUUGUAUUUGAGGGAAUAAUAAUUAAUAAUAAUAAUUUUAUUAUUUAUACCCCGCCCAUCUGGCUGAGUUUCUCCAGCCACUCUGGGCGGCUC